UGCAACUCUGACACUCUGCUCUGUGAUUUCGCUUUGCAGGAUCUGGGCCACAUUAUAAGCCUAGGGAAAUGAAAAUGUCUCUGAUGCCUACCUAAAAACCACCAGCAGGACAAACUAACUUGCAAGAGAGUUCUAUAAAUUGGGGCUGACGCUGCCAAGGCCCUGCUUUGUGUUCCCACCAUCCACACCUUUCUUGGCGUCAGAAGACAGCAGCCUUGGGUGAUCACCAUAAUCGUCAGUACUUCAAAUAUUCUGGUCCUAAGCCACAUUGGAACAGCGCAGCCAGGUGCCCAGCUUUGAAGGCUCUUUUGGGGAUAGCUGACAUGGUGCCUUCCAGAUGCUGCCAUGACCAUUGGCCAUGCUGGUGAAGGUUGGUGGGAGAUGGAGCCCAUCAACAUCUGGAGGGCACCAUACUGGCCACUAGUGCUUUAUUUGAACAUCAGGUUUCAUGAUGGAGAACCAGAGAGAGAGGGGGGGGGCUUGAAGCUGCCCAGCAAAAUUUAGCAGGUGGACAGUAUGCAAGUCACCUAGUCACAAUCUUCGCCAAAUUUCGUACAGCUCUAUGUCCUCUUAUUGAGUGGCACAUUUCCUCCUUUUUUGUUACUCCUUCUGUGUAAGUAGAACAGAAUGAGGUGUAUCCACUGCUAGUCCUGCUUCGACACAUUGAAAUUAAUAGACAUGGCUAAUCUAAGUUAUUGUUUUCAAUGGGUGCAACCAAAUGACAUCCAGUGUUACUAUGACAUUUCAUGACAUUGCCAGUGUGGCCUUUUAUUGGAUUUGUUUGCAGAAGUAGAGGGCAGUCACUGAAAUGAGCCCUGGGACCUGAAAGGUGGCAAAUCUCACAUGAACUGUCUGCGUGUAAUCUUUUUUUUUUUUUAAAGGUAAUGUGUGGAAACCCAGUGCAGUAUGGGAAAUGUGGUGCUAGAAGAGGCAUGCUUUUAAGGGAAAAAACAAAAACAUCACAGAAUAUGCAGUACAAAAGCCUUUGAACCAGAUAGAAGCAGAAUUGGGGUGCAGGAUUCACUCUAUAAUCCUCUCCAUCUCACAUGCCCAUUUGUAACAGUUGGGAAAGUGCCCUGUGCCAUGAAAAGAAUGCCUUCCUUGUUUCCAGUGAUUUCAUGGGCACUGGCCUAGAGAUACCAGCAAGAGCUGUGUAUGUAUCAUUGCUCUUAUAUUUUGAACCUCACUGUACACUGUACACCAUGAUACUUUGAAUAUUCAAAGCAUUAUUGACAAAUAGAGGAGCAGUUCUUAACCAGUAGCCUGCCUUUAUCCCAGAUUGCUACCUAGGUGAUGGGGAACAAAAACUGAGGGCUCAUGCCCACUUUCCUUUGCCCCACGCUUUCUUGGCGCAGAUCGCACCACUUUCCCCAGGAACACACACACUUUGGUUUUCUGUCAAUUGCUGUUUGCUCUGAUUCUGUUUUUAAGAGUGGGUUUUCACGGAGAAAGUGCCAGGGCAAAAAAAUCACACAGGGACCUGGAAAGGCCAGACCUGUGCCUCGAAAUGCGGCGCAAAGGUAAAGCAUAUUUAGCCACUCUAUGGCAGAAGUAAGAAACCAAGGACUUCCCUAUGGAUUUUGUGCAAUCAGCUGAAGAACCAUGUUGUUUUGAACAUGCUGCCGCCAAGGCAGGUUGUAAAUUUAAUAUGCCAGUAAAUGUAAUAAAUACUUGCAUUUCCUGGAUGUUGAUUCUCCAGGAUUUCCAUUUCUCAUGAGCUCAUGUGUGUCAAAGAGAAGUGCAAGAGAAUAAGAGAAGCUGAGAUACAGCCCUGGGUCCUCCCCGUCUGCCAAAGUGAGAUCUUUGCCCUUUGCUAGCCAGCAAUGUUCUGGAGCAUCAUUAGGCCUUUGAUCUCAAAUCCUUGAAAGCCUGAGCUGUGCAAAGGCUUCCCAAGCCCAGCAUCACAGGCCAAAUGUCCUAAUGAGAACUCACUGACCCCCAGGGUUCUUCUUUCCAGGCUAUGCACUCUGUGGUGCAUUCAUGUUUAAAGCCAUCACAAUUCAGACUCAAAACUCUGUAAAUAUGUGUGGCCAGGUUCAAGAAAACUGUUUUACGAUUAUAAAAUGCAAUAUCCCUCCAUUUUUAUGGAAAAUGUCUCCUUUUUUGCAUACACAAUUCUCCCUCUAAACACAGGCCAUCCACACAUUGCUUGAACAAAUUUGGGACACAGACUACCUGUUCUGCCCAACCCCCACUGAAAUAUUCAUUAGGAACAUAGGAACCUAUUAUGGAGCCUAUUAUGUUCCAUUAGCUCAGUACUGCCUAUACCAACUGGCAGCAACUCUCCAAGGUUUCAUACAGGGCACUUUCCUAGUUCUAGUUGGAGAUGCCAAGAACUGAACCUGAGAUCUUCUACACACAGAGCAAAUUUACUGCCACUGAGCCCCAUUGUGAACACUUCAUGUUUCUUAAGAAAUUAGGCUUCUUUGGGGGACCACCUCAGUGGUAAGAUGGCCAUGUGUCCUUUACAGAAUACAAUCCUCUCUCUGGAGAUCUGUCAGAUGGCAGUCCUCUAUUUUAAGGAAUCCUUUUUCAGAAGGGGCUCCCUAGGUGGGGAAGGCCACCACUAUCCUAGCAGCAGGUGGGCCACUAUUGCUUUUCAGGAGCGAGCUAUGCUUGCACAGCAUCAGCUUCUGAACUGCCUGGUCCAAGCUCAGUUUGAAAAAAAUGAGGGAAUGCUGUAGGUAGCAGGAGAGGAUAUAUUGAUUAAAUAUUAUACUUCCUAAAUCACGCUAGUGAGUUUAUUCAUACAUCAGAGUACAUUCUCCCUUUUACACAGCAGGAAGCUAGUUGCAGAUUCGUCAGAAUCUCUUAAAUUCUAUUAUUCCUGGUGAGACCCCUUUGAUUCCCUCCUAAAAGGAUAAAGACACAACAGUCUUCUUUUAAAAGUAAUAAGAAGUUUACUCACAUUCAGUUCACAGUUGGAUACCUGAAGGCAGGCUUUAGCUUAAAGUUACAGAAGAGGGUUUGAGUUCAUCCCAUAUGGGAACUCAUCCCACAUGCUGCUGGCUGAGAGCCAGCAGUGCAGUCCAAGAGAAGAAAAGGCAUCAAAAGAGGAAGGUGGACUGGACAUUUUGUGGGGUCUGGAAGGGUCACGCUCACCUACCUGGUCCCAUGCAAAGGAAGGAUGCUCCAGACCAGGUGUAACAGGAAGUUCAGCUGGCUGGAUCAACAUUCCCCUGCAUGUCCACUCUAGGCAAACAGGAAAUGUUGUACAGUGGUACCUUGGUUUACAACCAUAAUCCGUUCCAGAGGUCUGUAAACCAAAACAUUUCGCCAAUGGGGCCUC